UUCUGUUUCCAAGUUGUAAGGACAAAGAGAUCAAAUAGGCAAAAUAUGUGGCCAGAAGAGAUGCAGAAGAGCAGAUAUGCUACUCUGUACAAAUGCUGAUAGUAAAAUGUCUACUACACUGUCUGAGGAAUUACAUCUCUCUUUCCAGAUUCA